rnacentral:rRNA from 1 species
AGAACGAACGCUGGCGGCAGGCUUAACACAUGCAAGUCGAACGCACCGCAAGGUGAGUGGCAGACGGGUGAGUAACGCGUGGGAAUCUACCCAACCCUUCGGAAUAGCUCCGGGAAACUGGAAUUAAUACCGAGUACGCCCUACGGGGGAAAGAUUUAUCGGGGUUGGAUGAGCCCGCGUUGGAUUAGCUAGUUGGUGGGGUAAUGGCCUACCAAGGCGACGAUCCAUAGCUGGUCUGAGAGGAUGAUCAGCCACACUGGGACUGAGACACGGCCCAGACUCCUACGGGAGGCAGCAGUGGGGAAUAUUGGUCAAUGGGCGCAAGCCUGAACCAGCCAUGCCGCGUGAGUGAAGAAGGCCUUAGGGUUGUAAAGCUCUUUCAGCGGGGACGAUAAUGACGGUACCCGCAGAAGAAGCCCCGGCUAACUUCGUGCCAGCAGCCGC